UUAAUUCAAAUUUGUAUGGAGUUGGAAUGUUUACGUAAGUUUGCCGCUAGGGGCGCUGUUCCAACUGCAUACAAAUUCUAGGUU
rnacentral:pre_miRNA from 1 species